ACUCCUACGGGAGGCAGCAGUGGGGAAUUUUGGACAAUGGGGGCAACCCUGAUCCAGCAAUGCCGCGUGUGUGAAGAAGGCCUUCGGGUUGUAAAGCACUUUUGUCCGGAAAGAAAUCGCUCUGGCUAAUACCUGGGGUGGAUGACGGUACCGGAAGAAUAAGCACCGGCUAACUACGUGCCAGCAGCCGCGGUAAUACGUAGGGUGCGAGCGUUAAUCGGAAUUACUGGGCGUAAAGCGUGCGCAGGCGGUUUUGUAAGACAGGCGUGAAAUCCCCGGGCUCAACCUGGGAAUUGCGCUUGUGACUGCAAGGCUAGAGUGCGUCAGAGGGGGGUAGAAUUCCACGUGUAGCAGUGAAAUGCGUAGAGAUGUGGAGGAAUACCGAUGGCGAAGGCAGCCCCCUGGGACGUGACUGACGCUCAUGCACGAAAGCGUGGGGAGCAAACAGGAUUAGAUACCCUGGUAGUCCACGCCCUAAACGAUGUCAACUAGUUGUUGGGGAUUCAUUUCUUCAGUAACGUAGCUAACGCGUGAAGUUGACCGCCUGGGGAGUACGGUCGCAAGAUUAAAACUGAAAGGAAUUGACGG
rnacentral:rRNA from 1 species